GCCCCGCCCCCAAAUGGUUCAGUUGGUUAGAGCUUUGUGCUGAUCAUGCGAAGGUUGCAGGUUUGAUUCCCGUAUGGGACA